AUGCGGACUCCGACGGCGGCGAUCACCGUGGUGCUUCCGGCUGUGGCGGUGGUGGUGAUGGCGAGCUUUUUGGCGGCCGCCGGCGAGGUGGAGCUGGCGCUGGAUCAGGCGGGUAGUCCGACCAGUGACCCCCCGACUUGCGCGAACAAUCUGGCUUCGUGCGCGCGGUACAUGAAUGGGACAAGCAUGCCGCCUGACGGCUGCUGCGAGCCGUUCAGGCACUCGGUAGUGAAAGAACAGAGGUGCCUCUGCGACCUCCUCGCCUCGCCCGAUAUCUUUAAGGCCUUCGACAUCAAGGAAUCCAGCUUUCACGACCUAGCCAAUAGAUGUGGCCUCAAAGACCUCAACACCUUAUGUCCCGGUUCAAUGAAAAUUGGUACUAUUAUUGGGAUUGCAUUGCCAGCAACAGGUGCAGCAAUUGCAAUUGCUACUUUGUGUUCUUACAUCCGGAGGAAACGAUUGGCAAGGAAGACGUCAAUUCCAGGUAAUUAUAACACUUGUGUUGUCUUCAUCACUUACAGUCAAUUGAUAUAUAUGUUUACUAUGUGGAUUUGGGUAUAAUCUAUCUAUG
rnacentral:lncRNA from 1 species